AUUAGUGAGCUUGUUGGUAGAUCUUGAAAGUAAAGUAGCUCAUUCAUGCAUGAACAACUUUGAAAAUUAUUACUCAGAUGUUGAAUACCCCAUUGAAAAAUAAGACUAAAAAACCUGACUCCACGAGGAACCCAAAAGGUUUGAUUUAUGAUGAGGCAAACUCGAACAAAGCUCAAACUAAUAAUAAAUGCACAAAAUAAUAAAUGAACUCAGCUUGAGUUUUGAACUGAGAUCAACCCUAAUAUUAAGUCAAACACAGUGCGGAAAUAUACGUGGAAUGGAGUCCGACUUCAUUCCCAGAUAGUCGCUAAGCAAAGUUUCCCAUAUAUAUGCCAACAAGAGAAACAAGUCCAGCUUAAUCAUAAUACUACUAACUAGC
rnacentral:lncRNA from 1 species